GCUUGUCUCAAAGAUUAAGCCAUGCAUGUCUAAGUAUAAGCCUUUAUAUGGUGAGACUGCGAAUGGCUCAUUAAAUCAGAAACUGUUUAUUUGAUAGUGCCUACUACAUGGAUACCUGUAGUAAUUCUAGAGCUAAUACAUGCAAAAAGCCUGGACUUCUGGAACAGGCGUAUUUAUUAGAUAUACAAACCAACCGCUUCGGCGACCCUUGGUGACUCAUAAUAACUUCGCAAAUCGCAGUAAUACUGCGAUAAAUCAUUCAAGUUUCUGCCCUAUCAUGCUCUCGAUGGUAGUGUAUUGGACUACCAUGGCUCUCACGGGUAACGGGGAAUUAGGGUUCGAUUCCGGAGAAGGAGCCUGAGAAACGGCUACUACAUCUAAGGAAGGCAGCAGG
rnacentral:rRNA from 1 species